rnacentral:lncRNA from 1 species
AAUAACAAAAUCCUAAUUCUAAUAGAAUACUAAUAAUGCUCUAAUUAGACCAUAAUAAUGGUAAGCAAGCUUAAUCAAAUUCAAAGAAACCUCAAAGAAAUUUCAAACAAACAAUAAGAAUCCUUAAAGAAAUAUUAGAAUGAUCACAAAUAUCUCUCAAAUAUAUCUCAAUUGAAUCUUAAUUUAAUCAUAGUUAAAAUCCUAUUGGACUUCAUUCAAACUUUAGGCCAAAAUCAAUUAAAUCUUAAAUCUUAAACAAAUCCUAAACAAAUCCUAAACCAAAUCCUAAACCAAAUCCUAAACCGUAAACCAAAUUCUAAACCAAAUCCUAAACCCUAAAUCAAACCAUAAAUCAAAUCGUAAUAAAAUCCUAAUCCAAAUCCUAAACCUUAAAUCAAAUUCUAAAUCAAAUCCUAAUCAAAUCCUAAUCAAAUCCUAAAUAAAUCCUAAAUCCUAAAUCCUAAAUCAAAUCCUAAUCUCUAUCUUAAAUCCAAAAUCAAAUCCUAUCCAAACCCUAAACCAAACCCUAAUCAAAUCCUAAAUCCUAAAUCAAAUCCUAACUAAACCCUAACCAAAUCCUAAUCAAAAUCCUAAAUCCUAAACCAAAUCCUAAAUCAAAUCCUAACCAAAUCCUAAACCCUAUACUAAAUCCUAAACCAAACCAUAUCCAAACCCUAAACCGAACCCUAAUCCUAAACCAAUUCCUAACCAAAUCCUAGUAAUUCCUACAACAGAUUUAAACCUCAAUAACUUAUGAAUAAAUCAUUGAUAUUAACUCAAAAUUUUUAUAAUUUUUAACAACUAAGUUUAAAACAAUCAUAAUUUUUU